GACGAACGCUGGCGGCGUGCCUAAUACAUGCAAGUAGAACGCACAGUUUAUACCGUAGCUUGCUACACCAUAGACUGUGAGUUGCGAACGGGUGAGUAACGCGUAGGUAACCUGCCUGGUAGCGGGGGAUAACUAUUGGAAACGAUAGCUAAUACCGCAUAAUAUUGAUUAUUGCAUGAUAAUUAAUUGAAAGGUGCAAUUGCACCACUACCAGAUGGACCUGCGUUGUAUUAGCUAGUAGGUGAGGUAACGGCUCACCUAGGCGACGAUACAUAGCCGACCUGAGAUGGUGAUCGGCCACACUGGGACUUAGACACGGCCCAGACUCCUACGGGAGGCAGCAGUAGGGAAUCUUCGGCAAUGGACGAAAGUCUGACCGAGCAACGCCGCGUGAGUGAAGAAGGUUUUCGGAUCGUAAAGCUCUGUUGUAAGAGAAGAACGGGUGUGAGAGUGGAAAGUUCACACUGUGACGGUAUCUUACCAGAAAGGGACGGCUAACUACGUG
rnacentral:rRNA from 1 species